rnacentral:rRNA from 1 species
AUGUCCGGCUCCGACCUACGAGGCCGGUGGAUGCCCUCCUCUGUCACAGAAGAGGACGUGCUCAAGCUGAGAGACGCCAGGUACUUAACCUACGAGAUCUCGCAUAGGUUGCCUGCCCAAGGGCAAGUUAUUCCUACUCCCGAGCCCGGCGAGAGUGUUGUGUUCGUGUCUCACCUCCGUCGGGGUUUAGGCUUCCCAGUGGAUCCCUUCGUGAGGGGGCUCAUGUUUUAUUAUGGGCUGGAAUUUCACGACUUGGCUCCGGAGUCCAUCCUCCACAUCUCAUCAUUCAUUGCCGUCUGCGAAGCCUUCCUCCGCACUAUCCCUCACUUCGGCUUGUGGCUCAAAACCUUCAACGUGGAGCCGAAGAUGAUCGCGGGGCAUCAAGCAGAGUGCGGCGGGGCGGUUAUAAACAAGAGGGCUGAUGCUCCAUGGCCCGAGGGCUUUUUUCAGGAGGAGCUCGGUUUGUGGCAACAGGAGUGGUUCUAUAUCACCGCUCCCAGGGGUAGCAGGCAGAGGCCGCCGCCCGUCUUUCGCUCGGGCCUUCCACAACGGCUGACGUCAUGUGUCAACAAAGGGCUUGACUGGGGGCCGUCCAAAGACGUACCCCUGUUGUAG